AACAGCUUCACUGCAUUUCUAAAGAUGUUGGUCCAAAUUCUAGUCCUUUGGAAGUUAAUCAGAGUUUUGACAUUGACUUCAGGUGUAACCCACUAACGGGUGUGUGUUACAGUUCCUCCUUUGUUCGGAUGUGCAGGAGAUAGGAGUUGUUACAGUCCCCAAGUAUAGCAGCUUGGUCCAAACUAUUUAGUACAAACUGUAACAGCAUGUGCAUUUAGCUCUGUAGGUCCCUGGUGUGUCAGGCAAGAUGGCAGCUGUCACACAAGUGGGGGCUCAUCCUGGAUUCAAACCACUGUGGACCUCAGAUGCUUGGAGGAGUUUUUUUGAGCAGAGGAAGUAUGUCAUGUAACCCACUGGGUUCACACUUUGGCAGUUCUGCUUUGACUUUUGACGGUGCUGGCUGGAGAAGCCAAAGGGGAAUUUGGCUGAAACUGCUGAGUCUCACGUGGAUACCAAUUGACACUGGAAAUCCCUCGCCCAGUGAGUAGAAUGUGGACGUUCCAUCACUGGGAGCCUGCAGCCUGGACUCCACCAUCAAGGCCAGCCAGAAUGAAGGCACAACAUACUAAUUUUCAAAAGGAGAAAGGAAAGGGAUGCUUUCCAAUGUCUGCCUCAUAAGCCUGACUUCUGGUUCUAGAAAAACGGCAGGAUAAUUAUUCAAAGAAAAAUGACCCACUCGACAACUGGAAAAUAGUGGAACUGGGUUUCUGCAGUGUAAAUCUUCUCAGAUGACAUUGAUCACUGUCUUUGAUAGAACAAUUAAAUCACUGGCCAAAAUGAAAACAGCAAAUGUAAUGGGUCCACCUGAGGCUGGCACUUUUGUCGGGGGAAGAGGGAGGAGCGUUCCCUAUACUCUGAGGGCAGGGAUUACUCCCACUUUGACCCUCUUCCCCCUGGAGGGGAUUUGGGGGAAGCAGGCUGCACCAUCUAAAGACAGUGUAGACUAUGUACAAGCCCUUGUGCACUGAGAAGCUUGUGCCUGAAAUGCAGCUUCCUACCUGAAUACAGCUCUGCACCAGCCCCAGCAUGUUUCAGUGCCUAACUGGCCCAAUUUGGCUCAAUGUGUUUUGACUUCAGUGAUGCCUUUGUUAUACUAUCUCCCAAAAAUUCACUCUCAGAACUAGUCCCAAUUGGCUCAGGUAGGACUACAGUCACAUGGAUUAGUUACUGGUGCAGAGACCAAAGAUAAAUUGUGGGGAGGGGCUUAGUGGGUAGUACAGGGAGCGAGGCUGGUCCUGGUCCUGUCUAACAUCUUCUUUCAUGAUGUGAAAGAAGAAGUUAGCGACACAUUUGUAUAAUCUACAGAAGAUAUUAAAAUGCACUCACUGAUGCUGGCUUUAAAUUGGACAGUCCCACUCUGUCCUUUACUGUUAGUGUUAUGAUGGCUGGUGGUAUCUCCUUCACUGAAGAGUUAUUUAUUAUUUGUAUUGCGGUAACACCUAGGAGCCCUAGGCAUGGCCCAGGACCCAUUGUGCUAGGCACUGUACAAAUACAGAACAAAAGGAUAGGCCCUGUCCCAAAGAGCUGAUAAUCAUUUAGUAUUUGUGGUUCUGUUUUAGA